UACGUAGGCAGCGAGCGUUGUUCGGAAUUACUGGGCGUAAAGGGUGCGUAGGCGGUGCCUCAAGUUUGGUGUGAAAUCUCCCGGCUCAACCGGGAGGGUGCGCCGAAAACUGAGGUGCUCGAGUGUGGGAGAGGUAAGCGGAAUUCCUGGUGUAGCGGUGAAAUGCGUAGAUAUCAGGAGGAACACCGGCGGUGUAGACGGCUUACUGGACCAUAACUGACGCUGAGGCACGAAAGUGUGGGGAGCAAACAGG
rnacentral:rRNA from 1 species